GCAGCUGGUUGAUGUAUCCUAACUGAUGUCUGUGUAGGUAGGAACAUGUGAUGAGACUAGGAGGCCAGAAAAGAUCCAAACUCAUUCAGAGAAAGACUCUUUUAACAGUUUUUGAAGCUUGUCAAAGCAAGAGACUCCUCCAGACCAACCUUUCCACUUCUCCAACUCUGAAGGCUCAGUGACCUCAGCUGCUGUCCUACCUGCUCCUGCUCUGGAGCCUGCAGUGUUUCCACUGCUCAGCCAUGCUCCUGCUGCUCAUCCCAGUGCUGGAGAUGGUUUUUGCCCUGAGAGGGACCAGAGCCCAGUCAGUGACCCAGCCUGACAGCCACAUCACUGUGUCUGAGGGAGCUGGUCUGGAGCUGAGGUGCAACUACUCAUCUUCUGUUUCACAGUUUCUCUUCUGGUACGUGCAAUAUCCCAACCAAGGCCCCCAGCUUCUCCUCAAGUACUUUUCAGGGCCCAUCCUGGUUAAAGGCAUCAAAGGUUUUGAAGCUGAAUUAAAAAAGAGUGAAACCACCUUCCACCUGAGGAAACCCUCAGCCCAUUGGAGCGACUCAGCUGAGUACUUCUGUGCUCUGAUGAACACAGUGCCUGAGACUGCAGGGGGAGCUGAGCACAAACCUCCUGAGACACUAGGACUUUCUGUGACUCAAGACCUCAACCUGGGAAGUUUUCAAGAAGGUCUUUUUUUCUGUGAAGGCUAAUAGGGCGGGGUGGGCUGAGUCCCACAAGUGCUUGUCUCCUGACUGAUUGCUUCAACGUCAAUACUGUGCCACAUUUGGAUAGACUCUGUACCAGACUGACGUCUUCUGAUGAAUUUCCCCAGGAUGGACCAGCCCCCUACAACUCCCCACCCCCACUGCCACGCUGAGGAAAGGACAUCAUAAAGUGCUAGAGUUUUAA